AGAGGAGCUGCCCCUAGUACGAGAGGACCGGGGUGGACGGACCACUGGUGUAUCAGCUGUCGACCAACGGCAUAGCUGAGUAGCCAAGUCUGGACGGGAUAAACGCUGAAGGCAUCUAAGCGUGAAGCCCCCCUCAAGAUGAGAUAUCCCAUUCCUUCAAGGAAAUAAGAUCCCUUAUAGACGAUAAGGUAGAUAGGUUCAAGGUGUAAGUGCGGUAACGCAUUCAGCUGAUGAAUACUAAUAGAUCGAAGGUUUAUUCUA
rnacentral:ncRNA from 1 species